GAUGAACGCUGGCGGCGUGCCUAAUACAUGCAAGUCGAGCGAAUGGAUUGAGAGCUUGCUCUUAUGAAGUUAGCGGCGGACGGGUGAGUCACACGUGGGUAACCUGCCCAUAAGACUGGGAUAACUCCGGGAAACCGGGGCUAAUACCGGAUAACAUUUUGAACCGCAUGGUUCGAAAUUGAAAGGCGGCUUCGGCUGUCACUUAUGGAUGGACCCGCGUCGCAUUAGCUAGUUGGUGAGGUAACGGCUCACCAAGGCAACGAUGCGUAGCCGGCCUGAGAGGGGGAUCGGCCACUCUGGGACUGGGGCAAGGCCCGGCCUACUACGGGAGGCAGAAGGAGGGAAUCUUCCGCAAUGGGCGGAAGGCUGACGGAGCAACGGCGAGUGAGUGAUGAAGGCUUUCGGGUCGUAAAACUCUGUUGUUAGGGAAGAACAAGUGCUAGUUGAAUAAGCUGGCACCUUGACGGUACCUAACCAGAAAGCCACGGCUAACUACGUGCCAGCCGCCGCCGUAA
rnacentral:rRNA from 1 species